GGGGUUAAUGGGAUUAAUGGGGGUUAAUGGGGCCAACGAGGUCAAUGGGGUCAAUGGGGUUUCCACCCCCCCAGGGCAGUUCCUGGGGUUAAUGGGGUCAACGGGGUCAGUGGGGUCAGUGGGGUCAAUGGGGUUUCUGCCCCCCAGGGCAGUUCCUGAGGUUAAUGGGGGUAUGAAUGGGGUCAUUGGGGUCAAUAGGGUCAGUGGGGUCAAUGGGGUCAGUGGGGUCUAUGGGGUCAGUGGGGUCAGUAGGGUUGAUGGGGUCAAUGGGGUCAAUGGGGUUUCUGCCCCCCAGGGCGCUUUCUGGGGUUAAUGGGGGUGUCAAUGGGGUCAAUGGGGCCAAUGGGGUCAAUGGGGUCAGUGGUGUCAAUGGGGUGAGCGGUGUUUGCGCCCCGCAGGGUGGUUCCUGGGGUUAAUAGGGGUGUCAAUGGGGUCAAUGGGGUCAAUGGGGUCAAUGGGGUCAGUGGUGUCAAUGGGGUCAGCGGUGUUUGCGCCCCGCAGGGCGGUUCCUGGGGUUAAUAGGGGUGUCAAUGGGGUCAGUGGGGUCAAUGGGGUCAAUGGGGUCAGUGGUGUCAAUGGGGUGAGCGGUGUUUGCGCCCCGCAGGGCGGUUCCUGGGGUUAAUAGGGGUGUCAAUGGGGUCAAUGGGGUCAAUGGGGUCAAUGGGGUCAGUGGUGUCAAUGGGGUGAGCGGUGUUUGCGCCCCGCAGGGCGGUUCCUGUGGUUAAUGGGGUUAUGAAUGGGGUCAAUGGGGUCAGUGGUGUCAAUGGGGUCAGUGGUGUCAAUGGGGUCAGUGGUGUUUGCGCCCCGCAGGGCGGUUCCUGGGGUUAAUAGGGGUGUCAAUGGGGUCAGUGGGGUCAAUGGGGUCAGUGGUGUCAAUGGGGUGAGCGGUGUUUGCGCCCCGCAGGGCGGUUCCUGUGGU
ensembl:lncRNA